GAUGAACGCUAGCUACAGGCUUAACACAUGCAAGUCGAGGGGAAACGACAUCGAAAGCUUGCUUUUGAUGGGCGUCGACCGGCGCACGGGUGAGUAACGCGUAUCCAACCUGCCCAUCACUUGGGGAUAACCUUGCGAAAGUAAGACUAAUACCCAAUGAUAUCUCUAGAAGACAUCUGAAAGAGAUUAAAGAUUUAUCGGUGAUGGAUGGGGAUGCGUCUGAUUAGCUUGUUGGCGGGGUAACGGCCCACCAAGGCAACGAUCAGUAGGGGUUCUGAGAGGAAGGUACCCCACAUUGGAACGGAGACACGGUCCAAACUCCUACGGGAGGCAGCAGUGAGGAAUAUUGGUCAAUGGGCGAGAGCCUGAACCAGCCAAGUAGAGUGCAGGAAGACGGCCCUAUGGGUUGUAAACUGCUUUUAUAAGGGAAUAAAGUGAGAGUCGUGACUCUUUUUGUAUGUACCUUACGAAUAAGGACCGGCUAAUUCCGUG
rnacentral:rRNA from 1 species